rnacentral:rRNA from 1 species
GACGAACGCUGGCGGCGUGCUUAACACAUGCAAGUCGAACGGAAAGGCCCUGCUUUUGUGGGGUGCUCGAGUGGCGAACGGGUGAGUAACACGUGAGUAACCUGCCCUUGACUUUGGGAUAACUUCAGGAAACUGGGGCUAAUACCGGAUAGGAUCUCCUGCUGCAUGGUGGGGGUUGGAAAGUUUCGGCGGUUGGGGAUGGACUCGCGGCUUAUCAGCUUGUUGGUGGGGGAGUGGCUUACCAAGGCUUUGACGGGUAGCCGGCCUGGGAGGGUGACCGGCCACAUUGGGACUGAGAUACGGCCCAGAGUCGUACGGGAGGCAGCAGUGGGAAAUAUUGCACAAUGGGCGGAAGCCUGAUGCAGAAACGCCGCGUGCGGGAUGACGGCCUUCGGGUUGUAAACAGCUUUAGCCUGUGACGAAGCGUGAGUGACGGUAAUGGGUAAAGAAGCACCGGCUAACUACGUG